AGAGUUUGAUCAUGGCUCAGGACGAACGCUGGCGGCGCGCCUAACACAUGCAAGUCGAACGAGCGAGAGAGAGCUUGCUUUCUCGAGCGAGUGGCGAACGGGUGAGUAACGCGUGAGGAACCUGCCUCAAAGAGGGGGACAACAGUUGGAAACGACUGCUAAUACCGCAUAAGCCCACGGCUCGGCAUCGAGCAGAGGGAAAAGGAGCAAUCCGCUUUGAGAUGGCCUCGCGUCCGAUUAGCUAGUUGGUGAGGUAACGGCCCACCAAGGCAACGAUCGGUANCCGGACUGAGAGGUUGAACGGCCACAUUGGGACUGAGACACGGCCAGACUCCUACGGGAGGCA
rnacentral:rRNA from 1 species